rnacentral:rRNA from 1 species
AUUGAACGCUGGCGGCAGGCUUAACACAUGCAAGUCGAGCGGAGCGAGGGUGCUUGCACCUUAGCUUAGCGGCGGACGGGUGAGUAAUGCUUAGGAAUCUGCCUAUUAGUGGGGGACAACAUUCCGAAAGGAAUGCUAAUACCGCAUACGCCCUACGGGGGAAAGCAGGGGAUCUUCGGACCUUGCGCUAAUAGAUGAGCCUAAGUCGGAUUAGCUAGUCGGUGGGGUAAAGGCCUACCAAGGCGACGAUCUGUAGCGGGUCUGAGAGGAUGAUCCGCCACACUGGGACUGAGACACGGCCCAGACUCCUACGGGAGGCAGCAGUGGGGAAUAUUGGACAAUGGGCGGAAGCCUGAUCCAGCCAUGCCGCGUGUGUGAAGAAGGCCUUUUGGUUGUAGGGCACUUUAAGCGAGGAGGAGGCUACUUAGAUUAAUACUCUGGGAUAGUGGACGUUACUCGCAGAAUAAGCACCGGCUAACUCUGUGCCAGCCGCCGCCGUAACAC